CCUACGGGAGGCAGCAGUGGGGAAUAUUGGACAAUGGGGGGAACCCUGAUCCAGCGACGCCGCGUGAGUGAAGAAGUAUUUCGGUAUGUAAAGCUCUAUCAGCAGGGAAGAAAGAAAUGACGGUACCUGACUACGAAGCCCCGGCUAACUACGUGCCAGCAGCCGCGGUAAUACGUAGGGGGCAAGCGUUAUCCGGAUUUACUGGGUGUAAAGGGAGCGUAGACGGCGCGGCAAGUCUGAAGUGAAAGGCAGGGGCGUAACCCCUGAACUGCUUUGGAAACUGCCAUGCUAGAGUGCUGGAGAGGUAAGUGGAAUUCCUAGUGUAGCGGUGAAAUGCGUAGAUAUUAGGAGGAACACCAGUGGCGAAGGUGGCUUACUGGACAGUAACUGACGUUGAGGCUCGAAAGCGUGGGGAGCAAACAGGAUUAGAUACCCCAGUAGUC
rnacentral:rRNA from 1 species